rnacentral:lncRNA from 1 species
UAAUGAUCUCGAGCCACUUUCUAGCUAGAUGAGAAUUUAAAAUUUGUUAUGAUUCACCUUGUACGUAACAUAAAUUUUAAUUAAAAAAAGAAAAUUCUUCUCAAUUUUUUAUUUAAAAAAUCACAUACUCCUGUUGUGUCAAUUUUUUGUACCUAAACUUGGAAUUUAAAAUGACCGAUCUUGACGAAAACACACUUGCAAAGCACGGCCAACACCACGGA